AACGCUGGCGGCGUGCUUAACACAUGCAAGUCGAACGAAGCACCUCUAAUUGAAGAUUGACGAAGCUUGCUCUGAUUGAUCGCCUUGAGGUGACUGAGUGGCGGACGGGUGAGUAACGCGUGGGUAACCUACCCUAUACAGGGGGAUAACAGUUGGAAACAGCUGCUAAUACCGCAUAAGCGCACAGCUUCGCAUGAAGCAGUGUGAAAAACUCCGGUGGUAUAGGAUGGACCCGCGUCUGAUUAGCUAGUUGGUGAGGUAACGGCUCACCAAGGCGACGAUCAGUAGCCGACCUGAGAGGGUGACCGGCCACAUUGGGACUGAGACACGGCCCAAACUCCUACGGGAGGCAGCAGUGGGGAAUAUUGCACAAUGGGCGAAAGCCUGAUGCGGCGACGCCGCGUGAACGAAGAAGUAUUUCGGUAUGUAAAGUUCUAUCAGCAGGGAAGAAAAAUGACGGUACCUGACUAAGAAGCUCCGGCUAAAUACGUGCCAGCCGCAGC
rnacentral:rRNA from 1 species